UCCCGUUGAUCCUGCGGGAGAUCGCUGCUAUUGGAAUUCGACUAAGCCAUGCAAGUCAAGGGGUUCUUCGGAACACCGGCAGAAUGCUCAGUAACACGUCGAUAAUCUGCCCUUUAGUCUGGGAUAGCCUCGGAAAACUGAGGGUAAUACCGGAUAUGAGAAUUCGUCUGGAAUGAUUUUUCUCUUAAAGGUAACGCUAAAGGAUGAGUCGGCGGCGGAUUAGGUUGUUGGCGGGGUAACGGCCCACCAAGCCGAAGAUCCGUAGGGGCCUUGAGAGAGGUAGCCCCGAGAAGGACACUGAGAAACUGGUCCUAGCCCUACGGGGUGCAGCAGGCGCGAAACCUUUACAAUGCACGAAAGUGUGAUAGGGGAAUUCCAAGUGCUAAUACUUUGUAUUAGCUUUUGCCAAGACCAAGAAUCUUGGCGAAUAAGUGGUGGGAAAGACUGGUGCCAGCCGCCGCGGUAACACCAGCGCCACGAGUGGGGAUCGCUUUUAUUGGGCCUAAAGCGUCCGUAGCCGGUUUUGUAAAUUCUUUGUGAAAUUGUUAAGCCUAACUUAACAGCGAGCAGGGAACACUGCAAAACUAGAGACCGGGAGGAGUUAGAGGUAUUUUGGGGGGAGCGGUAAAAUGCUAUAAUCCCCAACAGACCACCUGUGGUGAAGACGUCUAACUAGAACGGAUCUGACGGUGAGGGACGAAAGCUAGGGGAGCGAACCGGAUUAGAUACCCGAGUAGUCCUAGCAGUAAACGCUGCGAGCUAGGUGUUGCAUAUUCUUCGUGAAUGUGCAGUGUCGAAGCGAAGGUGUUAAGCUCGCCGCCUGGGAAGUAUGGUCGCAGGACUGAAACUUAAAGGAAUUGGCGGGGGAGCACUACAAGGGGUGCGGCGUGCGGUUUAAUCUAACUCAACGCAGAAAAUCUCACCAGGAGCGACGGCAGGAUGAAAGUCAGGCUAAUGGUCUUACUUGACGAGCCGAGAGGUAGUGCAUGGCCGUCGUCAGCUCGUGCCGUAAGGUGUCCUCUUAAGUGAGGCAACGAGCGAGACCUGUACCUACAAUUGCUAGCGACUUCUUUGAAGGAUCGAGCACUUUGUGGGAACUGCCCUGGAAACAAGGAGGAAGGUGCAGGCUACGGUAGGUCUGUAUGCUCCGAAUCUCCUGGGCUACACUCGCGCAACAAUGGUAGGGACAAUGGGAUGCAACUCCGAAAGGAGAAGCUAAACCUCUAAACCCUAUCCCAGCCCAGAUCGAGGGUUGAAACUCACCCUCGUGACGCCGGAAUCCCUAGUAACCAGACGUCAUCAUCGUCCGGUGAAUGUGUCCCUGCUCCUUGCACACACCGCCCGUCAAACCAACCGAGCAGGGUUCAGAUGAGCCUCGGCCUAUUAGUCAAGUCGAAUCUAAGCUCAGUGAGGUGGGUUAAGUCGUCACAAGGUA
rnacentral:rRNA from 1 species